rnacentral:rRNA from 1 species
UACGUAGGCAGCAAGCGUUGUUCGGAAUUACUGGGCGUAAAGAGUGUGUAGGCGGUGCUCUAAGUUCGGUGUGAAAUCUCCCGGCUUAACUGGGAGGGUGCGCCGGAAACUGGAGUGCUCGAGCGUGGGAGAGGAAAGCGGAAUUCCUGGUGUAGCGGUGAAAUGCGUAGAUAUCAGGAGGAACACCAACGGCGAAGGCAGCUCGCUGGGACGGUACUGACGCUGAGGCGCGAAAGCGUGGGGAGCGAACAGG